UAGGGAAUUUUCGUCAAUGGGGGGAACCCUGAACGAGCAAUGCCGCGUGUGUGAAGAAGGUCUUCGGAUCGUAAAGCACUGUUGUAAGUGAAGAAUGCCAUAUAGAGGAAAUGCUAUGUGGGUGACGGUAGCUUACCCGAAAGCCACGGCUAACUACGUGCCAGCAGCCGCGGUAAUACGUAGGUGGCAAGCGUUAUCCGGGAAUCAUUGGGCGUAAAGGGUGCGUAGGUGGCACGAUAAGUCUGAAGUAAAAGGCAACAGCUCAACUGUUGUAUGCUUUGGAAACUGUCGAGCUAGAGUGCAGAAGAGGGCGAUGGAAUUCCAUGUGUAGCGGUAAAAUGCGUAGAUAUAUGGAGGAACACCAGUGGCGAAGGCAGUCGCCUGGUCUGUAACUGACACUGAUGCACGAAAGCGUGGGGGAGCAAAUAGGAUUAGAUACC
rnacentral:rRNA from 1 species